UACGGAGGGUGCAAGCGUUAUCCGGAUUUACUGGGUUUAAAGGGUGCGCAGGCGGAUAUGUAAGUCAGUGGUGAAAUCUCCGGGCUUAACCCGGAAACUGCCGUUGAUACUAUAUAUCUUGAAUGCUGUGGAGGUAAGCAGAAUAUGUCAUGUAGCGGUGAAAUGCUUAGAUAUGACAUAGAACACCUAUUGCGAAGGCAGCUAACUACGCGAAUAUUGACGCUGAGGCACGAAAGCGUGGGGAUCAAACAGG
rnacentral:rRNA from 1 species